GAGUUUGAUCCUGGCUCAGAUUGAACGCUGGCGGCAGGCCUAACACAUGCAAGUCGAACGGUAACAGGAAGAAGCUUGCUUCUUUGCUGACGAGUGGCGGACGGGUGAGUAAUGUCUGGGAAACUGCCUGAUGGAGGGGGAUAACUACUGGAAACGGUAGCUAAUACCGCAUAACGUCGCAAGACCAAAGAGGGGGACCUUCGGGCCUCUUGCCAUCGGAUGUGCCCAGAUGGGAUUAGCUAGUAGGUGGGGUAACGGCUCACCUAGGCGACGAUCCCUAGCUGGUCUGAGAGGAUGACCAGCCACACUGGAACUGAGACACGGUCCAGACUCCUACGGGAGGCAGCAGAAGGGCGAAUU
rnacentral:rRNA from 1 species